rnacentral:rRNA from 1 species
UACGUAGGGUGCGAGCGUUGUCCGGAAUUAUUGGGCGUAAAGAGCUUGUAGGUGGUUUGUCGCGUCUGCUGUGAAAAUCCGAGGCUCAACCUCGGACUUGCAGUGGGUACGGGCAGACUAGAGUGUGGUAGGGGAGACUGGAAUUCCUGGUGUAGCGGUGGAAUGCGCAGAUAUCAGGAGGAACACCGAUGGCGAAGGCAGAUCUCUGGGCCGUAACUGACGCUGGAGGAGCGAAAGCAUGGGGAGCGAACAGG